UUCCGACUUAGGUACAAAUUGGUGUUACGCUGCAAACGUAGGAACAGAAUUUGUCAUAAACCGAGAAUUUCUGUAUUGUAUCCCGAGUGCACUUUGUGUCAUUAAGCAGAUGCAGGACGUGUACCUCAUAAUCAGCGCCUCCAUGAGGAAAUCCAUUUCAUCCUGCUCAGAGCAGAUUUCCGGAAGAGUCUGCGGAAGAGAAAGAUCUUCAGACACCUCACAGUCGAUGGAAGCUGGCGAACACCGUGUCGGCACAAAACUGCACGAGUCUCUUACUGAGGAUGACUCCGGCGCAGAUCAACACCACGCCGCUGACGACGGUGGAGAUGACCACGGCCAGGACCAGCGUGGUCGACAUCUGGCCCGGAGGAGGCGGGACUGGAGGAGCUGCAAGAAGAAGAAGAUGGAAAUGUCAAGGCGAUAUCCCAACAGUGUUGGGAGUAACACAUUUUAAAACCAGCUCCGCCUCCUCCAGCCGUGCAGGCGCCACCUCCGCCUCCGAACCCCCCGUUGGUGGACCAGCCCAGUUUGGACUUUGACAAAAGGCACGCUGCACCCCCGUCGGCACCUUCUGCCAGGGACUUGCCGGCCACCAGGUGCUGUCACACUGGGCCUGGGUCGGCCCGUAAGGACCGCUGGCGCC